rnacentral:lncRNA from 10 species
GUGAGAGUCUGGCUGGAACAUCUUUUCAGAACCCAGAAGGUCUUGCUGGCCACAGAUCAGCCCUGGGGUUCAGAGGGAUCCUGACAGCUACUCCUCAAGAUCCUCUCUGUUGUGAUUCAUCCCCCCGGGGCCCUACAGUUUCUCCUUCCUGACUCUUACAUUUCUUUGGAUGGCAUCAUUAUUUACCUGUCUCCUCCCAUAGUUAGGUGCCAAGCACUGUGGAUUCUGCCUCUCAGUGUCCAGACACCCAUUUUCCUUCCCACUGUUCCUUCCCCAUGGAGAAGCCUGUGGCUGGCUGACAGCAGAGAGAGAUGCUCAACUUGGAGAAGGUGUUACCUGGGCCAGGUGGGGAAGGUUUGUUUGCAGAGCAAAGAAGUGAAGGAAGUAUUAACCCUUUGCAUGGCCUCCUGAGAAUCCGACAAGACGUAAAUAGCCAAGAAUAUCUGUGAAACUUCAUCACUGAGUUACAAUAUUUAUCACUGCAAGUGUGUUGUUCAUUGACACUAUAAAGCCAUGUGGAAUUAAGCAGCCUUGAAACACAAAAUGGAGAAAGGCUAAGAGCUGAGAAUUGUUGCCUUCAGGGAAAUACAAUCAAUGUCAAGCAAACAACCACCCCAAAAUGGUUAGCUUUAUCAGCAUUCAGGCCUACAGUGAACGCAAAUGUUCCAGAUCUGAGUUUCAAUUUUUAAAGAAUAAACAUAUGCAAAUGACCAUUAGUCUUAGUAGUUUUAGGGCUCAGAAUGAUCUUAUCUUGUUAACAUUCAGGGCAACUGCUUAUACCCAUUUGAAUGUCAUUUAGAGGGCUAGGAAAGACUGCUUCAACAUUUGAUGACUAAAUGGCAGGGCUCAGCCACAAUGCUCACUCCGAGAAAUGAGAAAUAGACACACCAGUAUGCUAGAUGCUGAUGCAGUUCAGGAAAUGCUACCCCAAAAUAUGGCCCCUCAGCAUACUGAGUAUUUUAAGCAGAAGGCAAUUAAGAAAACCACAAAAACAGAAAGGUCCCUCUGACCUUCUCCCACCCUCUCUCUCUUGAAGAUCCUCAUGUGACAGGUGACCUGCCAUAUAAUCAGAAGGAAGAAAUGUUACACAGAGAGGCUGAGAAGAAUCUGAGGACUUGCUAAGUUUUCCCCAGUUUAUUACCAUUAGAUCAUAUGCCUUUUUUGUUCAAUCAUACUUCUAUACAACUGUCCAUCAUUCAUUAAACCUAACCACAAAAGUAGUUUUCACUCGGUUUUUGAGUGAAGGCUCCUGUGUCACAUAAAACUUACAUUAAAUAAAUUUGUUCCACUU